rnacentral:rRNA from 1 species
UACGUAGGGUGCAAGCGUUGUCCGGAAUUAUUGGGCGUAAAGAGCUCGUAGGCGGUUUGUUGCGUCGGCUGUGAAAUCCCGAGGCUCAACCUCGGGUCUGCAGUCGAUACGAGCAAACUAGAGUGUUGCAGGGGAGACUGGAAUUCCUGGUGUAGCGGUGAAAUGCGCAGAUAUCAGGAGGAACACCGGUGGCGAAGGCGGGUCUCUGGACAGUUCCUGACGGCUGAGGCA